rnacentral:rRNA from 1 species
UCCUACAUGCAUAAGACUGGCUCCGGAUGGCCUACCGCCUUCGGGCGGAACAACCUGGGGCUCUCUAAUACAGGUGGCUCAUGACGGUUCCGUAAGAAUAAGCACCGGCUAACUACGUGCCAGCAGCCGCGGUAAUACGUAGGGUGCGAGCGUUAAUCGGAAUUACUGGGCGUAAAACGUGCGCCGGCGGUUUUUUAAGACACACGUGAAAUCCCCGGGCUCCACCUGGGAAUGGCGUUUGUGACUGCAAGGCUGGAUUGCGGCAAACGGGGAUGGAAUUCCUCGUGUACCACUGAAAUGCGUAAAUAUGCGGAGGAACACCGAUGGCGAAGGCCAUCCCCGGGCCUGUACUGACGCUCAUGCACAAAUAGCGUGGGGAGCAAACAGGAUUAGAUACCCUGGUAGUCCACCCCCUAAACGAUGUCAACUGGUUGUUGGGUAUAUACUUCCUCUACUAACCCAACUAACGCGUUAAAGUUGACCCCCCUGGGGGAUAUCCCCGUAAGGUUGAAAACUCAAA